AAGUCGUAACAAGGUUUCCGUAGGUGAACCUGCGGAAGGAUCAUUACAAAUUUCACUGAUUGGUGUCAACACACCGAAUCAUGACUUGUGCAAUUGAUUGAUUGUGUUGGAUGCGGAGUGGGUAAGGUCAGUAGUAGUAGUAGAGAAGAGGAAGGUUGUGUUGUUGCUGGUACUUGUAUUGGUACUGGUAAUAACACUUCCAUUGCUACUCUGCUUGUUGCUCUGCCUUACUCGCUUUGCGUCUGACACAUGUUUCUUAAAUAUCCUCUCUGUUUUAAUCCAAUGUAAAGUUACAGUUUGCCAUCCAACUCACUCAAAGGCGAGGAGGCAUGCAAACAGUAGUAGGACUAUAAAACUUUUAGCAACGGAUCUCUAGGCUCUU
rnacentral:misc_RNA from 1 species